AGCGAACGCUGGCGGCAGGCCUAACACAUGCAAGUCGAACGAACUCUUCGGAGUUAGUGGCGGACGGGUGAGUAACACGUGGGAACGUGCCUUUUGGUUCGGAAUAACUCAGGGAAACUUGUGCUAAUACCGAAUGUGCCCUUCGGGGGAAAGAUUUAUCGCCAUUAGAGCGGCCCGCGUCUGAUUAGCUAGUUGGUGAGGUAACGGCUCACCAAGGCGACGAUCAGUAGCUGGUCUGGGAGGAUGACCAGCCACACUGGGACUGAGACACGGCCCAGACUCCUACGGGAGGGAGCAGUGGGGAAUCUUGCGCAAUGGGCGAAAGCCUGACGCAGCCAUGCCGCGUGAAUGAUGAAGGUCUUAGGAUUGUAAAAUUCUUUCACCGGGGACGAUAAUGACGGUACCCGGAGAAGAAGCCCCGGCUAACUUCGUG
rnacentral:rRNA from 1 species